rnacentral:rRNA from 1 species
AUUCCAGCUCUAAUAGCGUAUAUUAAUGUUGUUGCAGUUAAAAAGCUCGUAGUUGGAUUUUGGAGUUUGACAAGUGGUCUGCCUAAGGUGUGUACUGCUUGUCGGCUCUUCUUUUCUGGGGACCACGCUGCUCUUUAUUGAGGGGUGCUGGGAAUCAGAUCUUUUACUUUGAAAAAAUUAGAGUGUUCAAAGCAGGCCCACGCAUUGAAUACAUUAGCAUGGAAUAAUGGAAUAGGACUUUGGUCUUAUUUUGUUGGUUUCUAAGGCCGAGGUAAUGAUUAAUAGGGAUAGUUGGGGGCGUUUAUAUUCCAUUGUCAGAGGUGAAAUUCUUGGAUUUAUGGAAGAUAAACUACUGCGAAAGCAUUCGCCAAGGAUGUUUUCAUUA